UACGGAGGGUGCGAGCGUUAAUCGGAAUUACUGGGCGUAAAGCGCACGUAGGCGGUUUUGUGAGUCAGAUGUGAAAGCCCCGGGCUUAACCUGGGAAUUGCAUUUGAUACUGCAAAACUAGAGUGUGAUAGAGGAUAGUGGAAUUCCCGGUGUAGCGGUUAAAAGUGUAGAUAUCGGGAGGAACCCCAAUGGCGAAGGCAAUUAUCUGGGUCAACACUGACGCUGAGGUGCGAAAGCGUGGGGAGCAAGCUGG
rnacentral:rRNA from 1 species